rnacentral:lncRNA from 1 species
AAAACCCUAGCCCUAGCUCCAGCUAACUCCCAGCCGCCCCUUUUCCAUCACCCUCGUGUGUCGCGCGCUCCCCGGUCGCCUCCGGUCGACCAACCACCUCCUCAGCCACCAUCUCCCUCUCACAUUGCCACUAACUCAUCUUUCUCUCUGCUCGAGAGCUUGGCAGGUGAUCCCUCACCCUUGGGCUCUCCUCCGGUGACCCCCCAGACCUCCAGCAACCUCUUCCGGCCCGCCACAGCCGCCCCCGAGCUUCGCCGCCGUGAAUCCUACAGCAUACAGCCAGC